rnacentral:lncRNA from 1 species
UUUCGGGCAGGGGUAAGGCUCGUCUACCUAUUACCCUCCCCAGACCCCACCUGGUGGGACUACCUGGGUAGUUGUUGUUGUUGUUGUUGUUGUAAAGAACGUCAAAUUGUCCCUUUUUACGUCUGGGAGAUCAAAUAGAAUGCCUGUUUGGCCAAGUUGCAGGUGAAGAGGUUUUAGACUGAAUUUUCAGGUGUUUUUGAACAGUUAUCAUGAUAUUUUUUCGGCUGGAGAUGAAGCCGAUUUUUGGCUGCGUUUUUCAGCCAUUUUUGGAGUGAUUUUGGUAAUGUUUUCGACUGCUUUUAGCUGGAUUUCGUGGCUGAUUCUGGACUGUUUUUGGGCAAUUUUUUAGGCAAGUUUAUCAAUAAUUUAUUCUGGUUCUUGGUUGAAGGCUGCUACCAUUUAAAUGUGUCCUGUUUUCUUUCAUCUUGACACCUUCAGUUUGAUAGAUGUCUAUUGUUUGGCUUCUUCCUUUCAGAUAAUUUUUGGUUUUAAAAAAAAAGUUAAGAAGGUAUAACUUAAUAUAAUAAGAUUCCAUAAUUGCCUCCUCGAUCUCCAUACAUGCAUGUCGAGCAAAUUUUAUUUCUGAAACAUGUGGUUGUUGUCUUCUUCGAUAAAAUUUACUCUACAAAUUAUCCUAAUAUCCUGUAUUGGUUACCUUUUUGAAUGCAGCUACAUUCACAUUUGCGCCUGCUUUUUAGAUACUCCUCUACUCGGAAAAUAUCGUGGAGGCACGAGGUAGUGUAUUUGAUUACAAAUCUAUUUUCCAAUUGCUUUUUUCCAACUUAACUAAAUUUUCAUUUUGCUAUACUGUUUUCGUGGCUGAUUCUGGACUGUUUUUGAGCAACUUAACUUAUUAUAAUAUAAUAAUAUAGUCAUAAUUAAUAAAAGAUUUGAAUGGUACUAAUACAUUGUAUGCAAAGAGAGAUUGCGAUAACUAGUUCUUAGCAGGUUUCCUACUUGAAUAGUAACUUGUAGCCAACUAUAUAAUUGAUCUUCUUGACUGAGUCUUUCUUGUGAUCUUUAACUUUUUGCUUGUAUUUCUAUUUGAAUUUUUUGCUCAUGUAAAGAGUCUUAUACACGAGAUUUGGUGGAAAUAUUUUUACUUAUUUGAAAUUAUGCUAUGCUGUAUAGUCUCUUUCUUUUCACAGAUUUUGAGUAAUUGAAAGUUCACAUAUUCAUCUCUAUUUCAUCAUUGCAUCUGCAAUUGAGAAUAAUCAAUUUUGAAUUAAAAGUAGAUCAAAUUAGUUUAUAAAGUACUUCUUUGUGUUGCUUACUUGAAUAUUUGUCAUCUUCUAAUUCAACUAUAGUUAUCAUAAUUUGUAAUCUUUCAAUUUAUAACAUAUUUAUUUGUUUGCAGAUAUUUUUGGUCAGGAACUAAUAGAAAAAGGACCAGAAAGAAGAUCAAAAACCACAUAUGUAAAUAGUUGUAUUAUAGAUGUUGCAACUGUUGUGGCGCUUUAAGCAUCUUUAAUGUAAUGCUCUCGUGAGUGCAAACAAUGUAUAUUUUGUUCAAUAUAUAUGUAAAUAAUGUGUAUAUCAUUUAGCAUGGAAUAUUAAAUAAUGUUGGGCCGGUGCGGGCACGGGCAGCACCAACCUAAUAUUAUUACAGAAUAUUGAGGUUCUGGUCAGAGCUAGAGAUUUAAUUUCUUUGCAUGUGGCUCGUUCCAGGAAUGGUUCAGUACGCAUAGACCAGACUUAUAUUAUGAUCACAACAAGGGGCGAAGGUACACGGAGUUGACCACAGACUUGUGAUCAUGUAUUAUGAUCACAAAAAGGGGCGAAGGUACACAGAGU